rnacentral:sRNA from 1 species
GCCAGGCAUGGUGGCGCAUGCCUGUAAUCCCAGUGGCUGGGGAGGCUGAGGCAGGAGGAUCAGGAGUUCAAAGCCAGACUCGGCAACUUAGCAAGGCCAUAACAACUUAGUGAGACCCUGUCUCAA